AUUGAACGCUGGCGGCAUGCUUUACACAUGCAAGUCGAACGGUAACAGGCCGCAAGGUGCUGACGAGUGGCGAACGGGUGAGUAAUGCAUCGGAACGUGCCCAGUCGUGGGGGAUAACGCAGCGAAAGCUGUGCUAAUACCGCAUACGAUCUAUGGAUGAAAGCGGGGGACCGUAAGGCCUCGCGCGAUUGGAGCGGCCGAUGUCAGAUUAGGUAGUUGGUGGGGUAAAGGCCUACCAAGCCGACGAUCUGUAGCUGGUCUGAGAGGACGACCGGCCACACUGGGACUGAGACACGGCCCAGACUCCUACGGGAGGCAGCAGUGGGGAAUUUUGGACAAUGGGCGCAAGCCUGAUCCAGCAAUGCCGCGUGCAGGAAGAAGGCCUUCGGGUUGUAAACUGCUUUUGUACGGAACGAAACGGUCUGGGUUAAUACCCUGGGCUAAUGACGGUACCGUAAGAAUAAGCACCGGCUAACUACGUGCCAGCCGCCGCAGUAAGAC
rnacentral:rRNA from 1 species